GUCUACCGCCAUACUACCCUGAAUGCGCCUGAUCUCAUGUGAUCUCAAAAGCUACGCAGGGUCAGGCCCAGUUAGUACUGUCCAGGCACGGUGGCUC
rnacentral:rRNA from 1 species